UAGGGAAUCUUCCACAAUGGACGCAAGUCUGAUGGAGCAACGCCGCGUGAGUGAAGAAGGCUUUCGGGUCGUAAAACUCUGUUGUUGGAGAAGAAUGGUCGGCAGAGUAACUGUUGUCGGCGUGACGGUAUCCAACCAGAAAGCCACGGCUAACUACGUGCCAGCAGCCGCGGUAAUACGUAGGUGGCAAGCGUUAUCCGGAUUUAUUGGGCGUAAAGCGAGCGCAGGCGGUUUUUUAAGUCUGAUGUGAAAGCCCUCGGCUUAACCGAGGAAGUGCAUCGGAAACUGGAAAACUUGAGUGCAGAAGAGGACAGUGGAACUCCAUGUGUAGCGGUGAAAUGCGUAGAUAUAUGGAAGAACACCAGUGGCGAAGGCGGCUCUCUGGUCUGCAACUGACGCUGAGGCUCGAAAGCAUGGGUAGCGAACAGGAUUAGAUACCCUGGUAGUCCAUGCCGUAAACGAUGAGCGCUAGGUGUUGGGGACUUUCCGGUCCUCAGUGCCGCAGCAAACGCAUUAAGCGCUCCGCCUGGGGAGUACGACCGCAAGGUUGAA
rnacentral:rRNA from 1 species